rnacentral:lncRNA from 1 species
AGGAGCCGCGGCUGCCUCCCAGAAGGCGCAGCCAAAAUGGAGCCAGAGUAGCCAGAAGAGCCGGAGCAGCUGGAGGAGCCAGAGUAGCUACCGCUGCAUCCCAGAAGGAGCGGCCAUAGUGUCUAAGACAAAGCUGCAGCUGGAGCACGGGAGCCCCUGGAGCGCAGGUACCGCUGCGGAGCAGGAGCUAAUGCCGCCGCCGCCAGGAAAAGGGAGCCACCGGAGCACGCAUGCGUUGGAGUGCGGGAGCCGCCCGCCACCUGCUGCCACGGCCGCCAAAGCCUUGAAUUCGCUCCAAUGCAGGAGGCGACUUUUCUGCUGGAGUGCAGGAGUCAAUGACGCUGCCGCCAGAGCACGGGACCCAGCACCACCUGGUUGGUGGCGUCCAGAAUUCAGGAUCCCACAGUGCCGCCAGCAGAGGACCGGAGAUGCUGGAGGGCAGGAGCCAAGGCUGUUGCAGCUGGAAUGCAGGAGCUGCUGCCUCCAGAGCUCAGAGCCGCCCCCAGGGGGCCCAAGCCAAAGGAUCCAAGGUGGAAGCCCCUGGGGAAAGGUGCAGGCACCGUGGGUCGGAGGACUGCAGCUUCUGGGGAGGUCCUCUUGGGCGAAGGGAGUCGCCACAUUGGAGGAGGUCUGACCCAGGGUGGGCGUCUUUCUGUGCUGGAAGUGUGACUGUGAGUCCGGGGUUGCGGGCUGGAGGUAAGCGGUACCUCUGGUGUUUUCAGGAGUGUGUAGGGGUAGCUGCAGCAUGAGGAUCCCUCAGGUGGGGGCAUACCUUGCGGUGUCUGGGUGGGAUCCCAUUUUGUGGAGGUACAGGUCUCAGUGAGGAGAUCUUAAAGGGGAGUCAAGCUCCUGGGGACAGGAAGGCCUGUUGUGGGGGGUGAUAUGGAAAGGGGAUGCCCAAGGGAGCCCAGCCUUCAGCAAAAAGGAGAGGCUCAAUUUGGGGCCAUGAAGACUUCCUCCCACAACCCAACAUUCUCAUUCCUGGGAGACAACUCUAGGAGUCUGAAGGCCCCUUCACUUAGCAUUCCAGGCCAGAGUGUAUGGACUGCUCCUUUGGCAUAUGGGUCUCCUCACCCCUGGCUUUCUAUGACAGGAAGAUGGCAGGUUUUUGCUUGCACUCUCCCUUGGGCCAACCUCGAGCUGAUUCAGGCCUCUGGAUUCAUAGCUCAGUCCAGGUCCCUGUAGAAGUUGGGGAUGUUUACUGUUGUGGAGACUAAGGGUAGCAUUUCCAUGUCUGGACUGUGAAUGUGUGGGUCCAUGAAUAUGGCUGUGUGUGCAUGAGUGUAUGUGACUGGAGUAUGUGCAUAUGAGAAUGUGUGUGCACCUGUCUGGAGAUGUCCAAGUGUAUAUCUAGGUAUUGUGUGUAUGUGUAUCUGUGUGCAUGAACAGUUUUUGUGAGUCUGUACUUGUAUGAUACGUGAGAUCGUGGGAGUGAAUAAGGCUAUGACUGUGUGUGUGCUUGUGUGGUCACUGUGUAUUACCCUUCCCUCAGCGCCACCAUCACUCAGCCUGGUGCCACAUUGCAGCUAUGUUUGCAUCUUGCAAGUUUUCAGCCCAAGAUAAAGGGAAUACAAAAUAAAAGACACAGAAUAGAGAAGUAGAAAAAAGCCAGAGGGCAGAGUGUGGGGUAAAGGUGUGAACAGAAAGGGACAGAGCAUGCUCUUCCCAGCCCUGAGUGCUUCCAUUUGGGAAGGUGCUGCAGCCACUGCCCAGAGGCAGCAUAUGACAUGAGGCCACAGCUGCCUGCUGUCAGAGCACUCUUGGAGCUGGGAGUGUGCACAUAGGGGCAAGUUGGUGCCAUCUUGGAUUCUGAGUUCUUCUUUGGUUUGCAAAGGUGGUAGCAGCGCCUCUGUAAAGACAGGUGAUGCACAGAGAUGUGGCUUCCAGCAGGAAGGACAGUGGCUAGCUGAACAUGACCAAGAGAUGGUGGAGCGCAUGACCUCAGCAUUUUUGACAAGGCACAGAGUACCUGUGUGAAGGCCACCUGGAGCUCACCUGCCAGGUAAGGGCUGCACUAAUUACCUGAUGCUCAGUCAAGUGAGUGGCAGUAGUGGAUGACCUGGUUCUAAAGCUCCUUGCUAAAGGAGGAAAAUAUUUUAAGUGCUAUAGGAAAUGUUUUUGCUAGAGGAGUUGAAAGAAGGAAAUUUGGAGGGAACAAAAGAGGUUGUUCUGUCAAUUUGGGACCGGGGUCGGUUUGAACCUGAGAAGGCAGUCUGCCGCCUACAAGAUUAGGAAAACCUCAUGCUUGCUAACAUUGAAAGAGAUUGGCAUGCCCACAUUUUACCAUUGUUUUCCUUUUCUAUAGUUUAUGUUCACUUAAAUAGCUUAAUUCUAAUCUAAUUACUAAUGUAAAAAAGCACAAGGUACAGCUAAGAGAUUGCAUUAGGAAACUUUAAUAUUUAACAUGGGAUUUUUAAAAAAUUCUGUUUAUCCAAAACCUGAUUUAUUUUGUGUAAUGGCUUAAAGUCUGAUGAUUGAUGUUGGUGGUGUGUUAUACAUGAACUGUCUUCUAUAGUAUUUUUGGUAAUUUUGAAACAUUCAGAGUUAACAAAAUGAGUCUUUCAAUCAAGACUUUUAUAUUGUAGUUGUAUGUCAAUAUUAAUAAGUUUGAUAUUGCAUCUUUUAACCAAGUUCAAAUUCUUGCAGAUUAUACUUUGAGCAAUUAUUUAUCUGCAGCAGAUGGAAAAAAAUAUUCUAUAUGUUACUAUUUUAGAAAUGUAUGUUAAGUAAAUAUAUACUGAAAUGCAUUGAGAAGUCUAUCCAAGAUGUUUUAGAAUUUUACAAAAUCUUGUCAAAUUCAUAAAGUGUAGCUUUAAAGACAAAUUUUAUGAGAUAUCACAAAACACUAUUUUAAAGUACUAGUCACAAUCCUUUUAUUUUGGUAGACGAAAGAGUGAAGGAAAGCUGGCACUUUUUAAAAAACAAAAUUGGUGCAAGAAAAUCUUUUGAGUAAAAAAAAAUAUAUAAAAAUCUCAUAUAUAUAUAUAUAUAUAUAUAUAUAUAUAUAUAUAUAUAUAGAGAGA